GUGCUUCAGCCACACACAUACUAAAACUGGAACGGUACAGAGAAGAUUGGCAUGGCCUCUGUACAAGGAUGACACACAAAUUUGUGAAGCGUUCCAUGUUUUU